AUUGAACGCUGGCGGCAGGCCUAACACAUGCAAGUCGAGCGGUUGACGGGAGCUUGCUCCCUGAUUCAGCGGCGGACGGGUGAGUAAUGCCUAGGAAUCUGCCUAUUAGUGGGGGACAACGUUGCGAAAGGAACGCUAAUACCGCAUACGUCCUACGGGAGAAAGCAGGGGACCUUCGGGCCUUGCGCUAAUAGAUGAGCCUAGGUCGGAUUAGCUUGUUGGUGAGGUAAUGGCUCACCAAGGCGACGAUCCGUAACUGGUCUGAGAGGGUGAUCAGUCACACUGGAACUGAGACACGGUCCAGACUCCUAGGGGAGGAAGCAGUGGGGAAACUUGGACAAUGGGCGAAAGCCUGAUCCAGCCAUGCCGCGUGUGUGAAGAAGGUCUUCGGAUUGUAAAGCACUUUAAGUUGGGAGGAAGGGUUGUAGAUUAAUACUCUGCAAUUUUGACGUUACCGACAGAAUAAGCACCGGCUAACUCUGUGCCAGCCGCCGCGGUAA
rnacentral:rRNA from 1 species